rnacentral:rRNA from 1 species
CAUGGUCCUCCCGUAAGGGACAUCAGUACAGGUGGUGCAUGGCUGUCGUCAGCUCGUGUCGUGAGAUGUUGGGUUAAGUCCCGCAACGAGCGCAACCCUUAUUCUUAGUUGUUUCCCUUUGGGGAUUACCCUCUAAGAAGACUGCCUCGGAUAACGGGGAGGAAGGUGGGGAUGACGUCAAGUCCGCAUGCUCCUUACGUCUAGGGCUACACACGUCCUACAAUGGGGUCGACAAUGGGAUGCAAUAUCGCAAGAUGGAGCCAAUCCCCAAACGGCCUCUCAGUUCGGAUUGUAGUCUGCAACUCGACUACAUGAAGUUGGAAUCGCUAGUAAUGGCAGAUCAGCAUGCUGCCGUGAAUACGUUCCCGGGCCUU